rnacentral:rRNA from 1 species
AUACGGAGGAUGCGAGCGUUAUCCGGAUUUAUUGGGUUUAAAGGGAGCGUAGGCGGGAGCUUAAGUCAGCGGUUAAAUGGUGCGGCUCAACCGUGCCCUGCCGUUGAAACUGGGUUUCUUGAGAGUGCAAGAGGCGGAUGGAAUUCAUGGUGUAGCGGUGAAAUGCUUAGAUAUCAUGAAGAACUCCUAUUGCGAAGGCAGUCCGCUGGGGCACGUCUGACGCUGAUGCUCGAAGGUGCGGGAAUCAAACAGUAUUAGAUCCCCUGGUAGUCCGCACGGUAAACGAUGAUUACCCGCUUUCGGCGGUAGACAGUCGGCGGCCAAGCGAAAGCGAUAAGUAAUCCACCUGGGGAGUACGCCGGCAACGGUGAAACUCAAAUUAAUUGACUGGG